UGGUAAUUAGUUUAAUUAAAAUUAAUGAUUUCGACUCAUUAGAUUAUGAUGG
rnacentral:tRNA from 1 species